UCCGGUUUGACACCGGCAGUCUCGCUAGAGUCCUCGCCAUUACGCGUUAGCAACUAGCGACAAGGGUUGCGCUCGUUAAGGGACUUAACCCGACACUUCACAGCACGAGCUGACGACAGCCAUGCAGCACCUGUGCACGAGCUCCGAAGAGCCCCGCAGGUUUCCCCACGAGUUCCCGUGCAUGUCAAGCCCAGGUAAGGUUCUUCGCGUUGCGUCGAAUUGAACCACAUGCUCCACCGCUUGUGCGGGCCCCCGUCAAUUCCUUUGAGUUUUAGCCUUGCGGCCGUACUCCCCAGGCGGGGUGCUUAAUGCGUUAGCUUCGGCACGGACGGAGUCGACACCGCCCACACCUAGCACCCAUCGUUUACGGCGUGGACUAC
rnacentral:misc_RNA from 1 species